rnacentral:rRNA from 1 species
UACGAAGGGGGCUAGCGUUGUUCGGAAUUACUGGGCGUAAAGCGCACGUAGGCGGAUUGCUAAGUCAGGGGUGAAAUCCCGGGGCUCAACCUCGGAACUGCCUUUGAUACUGACAGUCUUGAGUCCGGAAGAGGUGAGUGGAAUUCCUAGUGUAGAGGUGAAAUUCGUAGAUAUUAGGAAGAACACCAGUGGCGAAGGCGGCUCACUGGUCCGGUACUGACGCUGAGGUGCGAAAGCGUGGGGAGCAAACAGG